GACGAACGCUGGCGGCGUGCUUAACACAUGCAAGUCGAACGGAAAGGCCCUGCUUUUGUGGGGUGCUCGAUUGGCGAACGGGUGAGUAUCACGUGAGUAACCUGCCCUUGACUUUGGGAUAACUUCACGAAACUGGGGCUAAUACCGCAUAGGAGCUCCUGCUGCAUGGUGGGGGUUGGAGAGUUUCGGCGGUGGGGGCUGGACUCGCGGCUUAUCAGCUUGUUGGUGGGGUAGUGGCUUACCAAGGCUUUGACGGGUAGCCGGCCUGAGAGGGUGACCGGCGACAUUGGGACUGAGGUACGGCGCAGACUCCUACGGGAGGCAGCAGUGGGGAAUAUUGCACAAUGGGGCGAAGCGUGAUGCAGCAACGCCGCGUGCGGGAUGACGGGCUUCGGGUUGUAAACCGCUUUCGCCUGUGACGAAGCGUGAGUGACGGUAAUGGGUAAAGAAGCAACGGCUAACUACGUG
rnacentral:rRNA from 1 species